AGCCGGUGGAUAACUCGGCUCGGGGGCCGAGGAAGGGCGUGGCAAGCUGCGAUAAGCCCCGGGUAGCCGCAGGCAGGCGUUGAUCCGGGGAUGCCCGAAUGGGAUUUCCUGACGCCGACCACUUCGGUGGUUGGUGUCGCUCCAGGCUUUAAGCCCUGGAGGGGGAACCACCCGAACGGAAGCAUCCAAGUAGGGUGAGGAGAGGAAAUCAAAACGAGACUCCCUGAGUAACGGCGAGUGAAAGGGGACCAGGCCAAACCGAACCGCCGUGGGAAACCAUGGUGGGAUGUGGAGUUAUGGGUGCAGCCGCCCUCCCCUGUCCGGCGAUUCGAAGCGACCUGGAAUGGUCCGCCAUAGAGGGUGAAAGCCCCGUAGAAGAAGUCGGACGAGGAGAUGGGCUGCCACCCGAGUACCAUACCUCGGAUAUGGUGUGGGAAGUUGGGAGCCACCGGCUUCCAAGCCUAAGUACCUCCCGAGACCGAUAGCGCAGCAGUACCGUGAGGGAAAGUUGAAAACUACCCCGGGAGGGGGGUGAAAAGCGGUUGAAACCGGCUGGUAAUAGACGAGGGCUGCUCCCAAGGUACUCCAUCCGAAUGCACCCACGUGGGUGCGUAGGGUGGAUUAUCCGGGGUAGCCCGCUCCGUCUUGAAACACGGGCCGGGGAGUUCACCGUUGUGGCGAGCUUAACGGCUCACCAAAGCCGGUAGGCGUAGGGAAACCGAGAGCCCGCAACCGGUGUAAGCCGGUGAGGGGCCGGGUCCGAACAGGGCCUGUAGUCACAGCGGUGAGGCUAGAAACCGGGCGAUCUAGCCCUGGGUAGGGUGAAGCCGGGCGAAAGCUCGGUGGAGGCCCGAACGCGUCCUGACGUGCAAUUCGGUGCGUUGACCUGGGGCUAGGGGCUAAAAACCAAUCUAGCCCGGUGAUAGCUAGUUCCUCCCGAAGUGUCUCGCAGGACAGCCUCGGCGGAGGCCGCCUGCGGGGUAGAGCACCGAUGGGGUGGUAAGGGCUCGAAAGGGCCCACCAUCCUUUCGAACUCCGAAUCCGCAGGCGCCGGAGAAGCCGGGAGUGGGGUGUGCGGGGUAAGCUCGCACGCCGAGAGGGGAACAACCCAGACCGCGGGUUAAGGCCCCCAAGUGCCCGCUAAGUGACAAACCAAAGGGCGUCUCCCUCCUAAGACAGCGGGGAGGUGGGAACAGAAGCUGCCAUCCUCUAAGGAGUGCGUAACAGCUCACCCGCCGAGGAGGGGGGCCCCGAAAAUUGACGGGUCUAAGCGGGCCGCCGAAACCCGGGUUCACCCAGUCUUGGGCUGGGUGGAGGUAGGGAGGCGUGGCGGUUGGGUGGAAGCAGGGCCGUGAGGUCCUGUGGACCGACCGCCAAUGUAGAUCCCGGCGGUAGUAACAGCGAAGCGGGGUGGGAAUCCCCGCCGCCGAAGGGGCAAGGGUCUCCCGGCAAUGCGUCGUCAGCCGGGAGUAAGCCGGUCCUAAGGCCGACCUUAACCGGGUAGGCCGAAAGGGAAACCGGUUAAGAUUCCGGUGCCUCCGGAGUACGUGCGGCAACGCAAGCCCGGCAUCCGACGCUUCGGGGUAGGCUGAGCAGGGCCGUAGCUCUGUCUAAGCGUAUAAGCCUGGGGAGUGGCGUAAAGCCGAGAACCAGGUGAAAGCGCCAACGGCCGCCCGUAUGGGCGGUUCAGCUGAUCCCUGGAGCCCGUGAAAAGGGUGCUGGGAAGGAUCUCCGGAGACCGUGCCAAGAACUGACACCGGUGCCCCUGGGUGAGAAGCCCAAGGCGUCUGGGGUCACUCCAGGGCGAGGGAACUCGGCAAACUAGCCCCGUAACUUCGGGAUAAGGGGUGCCUGAGGCCUUGGCCGGAAGGCUGGGGCCUUAGGUCGCAGUGACAAGGGGGUCCUGACUGUUUAAUAAA
rnacentral:rRNA from 1 species